CUUCUCUGGAUGAGUUGCGAACGGGUGAGUAACGCGUAGGUAACCUGCCUGGUAGCGGGGGAUAACUAUUGGAAACGAUAGCUAAUACCGCAUAAGAGUAGAUGUUGCAUGACAUUUGCUUAAAAGGUGCAAUUGCAUCACUACCAGAUGGACCUGCGUUGUAUUAGCUAGUUGGUGGGGUAACGGCUCACCAAGGCGACGAUACAUAGCCGACCUGAGAGGGUGAUCGGCCACACUGGGACUGAGACACGGCCCAGACUCCUACGGGAGGCAGCAGUAGGGAAUCUUCGGCAAUGGACGGAAGUCUGACCGAGCAACGCCGCGUGAGUGAAGAAGGUUUUCGGAUCGUAAAGCUCUGUUGUAAGAGAAGAACGAGUGUGAGAGUGGAAAGUUCACGCUGUGACGGUAUCUUACCAGAAAGGGACGGCUAACUACGUGCCAGCAGCCGCGGUAAUACGUAGGUCCCGAGCGUUGUCCGGAUUUAUUGGGCGUAAAGCGAGCGCAGGCGGUUAGAUAAGUCUGAAGUUAAAGGCUGUGGCUUAACCAUAGUACGCUUUGGAAACUGUUUAACUUGAGUGCAAGAGGGGAGAGUGGAAUUCCAUGUGUAGCGGUGAAAUGCGUAGAUAUAUGGAGGAACACCGGUGGCGAAAGCGGCUCUCUGGCUUGUAA
rnacentral:rRNA from 1 species